AUGACGAAGAGGAGUUGGUCCCCAAGACGCCGUCGGCUGGCCCUUGACUCUGAAGGGAUUUGCAUGGGCCAUGACACAGACACCAGGGAAGGUUGGCAGGAGGUGCUACCGCGGCGCGGCCCGCGUCGGCCGACUUCGUCGCCAUCCUCGAUGAUGGCUCCUCGCCCCAUCCCUGCUUGGCUCCACGGUAGAUGUUGCAGAUGCCUUGCUUAUGGGCAUCGUGCGGCUGUUUGUAGAGAUCCGUUGCGGUGCUCCCGUUGUUUGGAGAAUGGUCAUUGUGCGCGUGAAUGUCGCAACCCCUGCCGUCCUCUGAGCUCACUACCAUGCCUUGAUGUGCCACAUGUGUCCCGCCUCAGCGCCGUGCAUCGUGUUGCUCCUGCUUCAUGUGAGGGUUCGGUGAGAUCCACACUCCCUUCCAAGGCGCUUCACCGUGGGUCUUGGGCGUCUGCUGUCUCUGCUGCUGCUGGCUCGGCAAUCCCGUCUGGGCUGAUGUUGCAGUCCGCACUGGCUGAUCAUACUACACUGUUGCAAGGUUGUGUGGCGCGGGUUGAGAGCUUUUUGGAGAGAGCGGAGGUUGCCCUAGGUAGACUAUCCCUUGUGCCGACUCUGUUGCAGACCACUCUGACGUCACAUUCUCCUUGUGCGGUCGGUGUUGGCUCCGCGGAAGAAAGGGGUGAGGAGUUGUAUGGCUCUUUCUCCCCUCUUGUUGGAGUCCAUUCAUCGUCGGUGUCUACCUUCCCUCCUAUGGUGUCUUCCACGGAGGGCGAGUCCAUCGCCGUGCUUCUGGCUCUGGUGCUGCAAAUCAUGCCCGAGCUUAGGGAGCUAUGCCGAGUCUAUCAGUAG
rnacentral:rRNA from 1 species